CUCGACUGUGACCCCAGGUCAGGCGGGAUUACCCG
rnacentral:rRNA from 1 species